AGUUUUUUUUUUUUUUAAGUUUGGCAAAAUUCAUGCCAGGUGUGGUGGUGCAGACCUGUAAUGCCAGUGACUCAGGAGGCUGAGGCAAUAGGAUAAGUUUGAGAUUAGCCUCAGCAACUUAGUGAGACCCUCAGCAACUUGGCAAGUCACUGUUUUCAACUAAAAAAUAAAAAGAGACGGGAUGGAGCUCAUUGAUAAAGUACCUCUGGGUUCAACUUCAAGUACCAAAAGAAAGAAAAGUUUGGCAAAAUUCAGUAAUGAAGCCAUCUGGCUCUUGGCUUUUCUUUAUUGAGAGUCUUUUUUAUUAUGGAUUCAAUAUCACUAGUUUAAAAUGUAAGCAAUGAAUAUCAGGCUUAGGAGGAUCAAAAUGAGGGGUCCUGCCAGAGGCAAGAGCCAAGCUUCCUGGCCCAGGUCCACCUCUUGACUUUUUAAAAUCCCCACUGUCGUGGCAACUCCAGGUCACCUUGUCCCAUGUUGACCAGUUCCAAUUGGAUUACAGAUUUUAUGGUUGGGAGGAACCAUUUUUAUCUCCCAGAGUUUUAGGAUCUGUUCUCCUGCAGUUAAUAGAUAGUUUGCUGAAGAAUGUGACAUAUUCUGUUCAUUUAAGCCAGUCAGGACUGCAGGAAAUUGCUUCUUGGAAAAGAAAGCACAUGGGGGUCAGCAAAGGGGGACCAUUUUAUAGAAUUCUCUUAACUUCAUCUGUCUAUCUCCUAACAUUUUCCCCUCAAGGACUUUGAACCCUAAACUCUUUUAAGGUUUUUGGGUGCUGACUCAUUCUGGCUGCUUACUGAUGAGAGGGCAAAGAUGGAAGAAAGUGACUGAAGUCAUGUUCCCCAUCCUGUGGGGCAUGGAGAGUUAAGGGUACUUAGCAUCAGGAUUGUCCAGAGGUCCAUGGUAGCAGCUGGUGUGUGACUGGAUGAGGUGUUUACAGAGCAGGGAUCAUGCUAAGACAACAAUCAGUAAGACAAAGUUUUUUUUUUCUUUUUGCAAAUAUUUAGCAUGUAAGCAAACAUUAUUAUUGGAUGGUCUCUGAAAACCAUGAAGAUGGUAGCUCAUGAAAGACAGACAUGGGAUCCACAUGUAUAUCUGCGAAUGGAGGCCAGUUAAGGCUUCAGAAACAUUAGCAGAGUUAUUAGAAACAUACACCCAACAGUAAUAAUGUUUAUAAUGUCUCAGAUGUCUUCAUGAGCACACUCCCAGCACACUUAUGAAUAUCUCACAGGUCAAAGAAGAAAGUACAAGAAAAAUAAAUGAAAUGCUUUGAAAUAAGUGAUAAUAAAGCUUCAAAUAUCAGAAUCUCUAGGAUAAAACAGUACUCAGAUGAACACUUACAACAAAGUACUUGUAUCAGAAAAAAAGGCAGAUUAACAAUUGAAUUAUUUUCAAAUUAGGUAGUAGGAAAGAAAAGAUAAGAGUAGGUGCAGAAAUAUAUCAAAUAGAAAAAUAAUAUAGCUAAACAUUGAUUAAAAAAAUCUUACAGGUUUAAUGAAGAAAAAAGUACACAAGAAUUAUAUCAAUGGAAAGAGAGUUCUCAAAACAACCCUACAGAUGCUAAAAAUAUAUUAAUGUAAUAUUACAAUCGUAUGCCACCAUGUGAUAGCUUAUAUAACAUGGUCUCUUUUAUAGAAGGAUCUGUGUGCUGUUUAGAAGAAAGUAUAUUCACUCGUUGAUGGAUGAAAUAUUCUAUAAAUCUUAUAUGAAAUAUUCUAUAAAUUUUAGUAUGUAAAAUCUAAAUUUAUCAAUUGUAUUUUUAGUUCUCUAGCUUCUUUUAUUUAGUUUUUGUUUGGAGUUUCUAUCCAGUGGUAAGAGAGGCAUGUUAAAGUCACCCCGUAUUAUUGUGUUGUGGUCUCUUUGAUUCUUGAAAUUGAGAAGGGUUUGUUUGAUUUACAUAGAUGCUCUAUUGUUUGGGGCAGAAAUAUUUACAAUUGUUAUGUCUUGCUAAUGUAUAAUUCUCUUAAGCAGUAUGACGUGUCUUUCCUUGUCCCUUCUGAUUAACUUUGGCUUAAUAUCCACCUUGUUUGAUAUGAGGAUAGCUUGUUUAUAAGGUCCAUGUGAAUGAUAUGUUAUUUCCCAUCAUUUUACCUUUAGUCUGUAGAUGUCUUUGCCUAUGAGGUGAAUCAGUUGGAGGCAGCAUAUAAUUGGGUCUUGUUUUUUAAAUAGAUCUGCCAUUCAAUGUCUUUUGAUGGAUGAGUUCAGGCCAUUUACAUUCAAUGUUAUUAUUGAGAAAUGAUUUUUAUCCCUGUCAUUUUUAUUUAUUUAUGGUUUUUACUUUGAAUCAGUUUCUCCUUUGAUUGACUAUUCUUCUACUAUAGUUCCUCCG
rnacentral:lncRNA from 1 species